rnacentral:rRNA from 1 species
AUGCAGUGCCACAUCGACCCCUCGCGCCGCCCCAGAGAGAGCCAUUCGCUGACCAUGUCCUCCCCGGUGACGGAGCAUGCCAUCUUCUUCCUGCGCAACCACACCGUCACCAUGAGCGCGACCGACAGCGUCAACGCCACAUCCCCCAUGGCGGUGGGCCCUGCGCUCGAGGCGCAGCUUGCCGUCCCGGUGAGCCAGCUCCGUGUCAUGGCUCACCACCCGGAGCACUACCUCGUCAUCUUCAGCCAGCCAGCACACCACGUCAACGCUGUCCGUCGAGGCUCCAUCAGGGUCGACGACGCCGUCUUCAACAUCGCGUCGUGGCACGAGCACGACCACGCCUCCUUCGACAUGCUCCAGGUCCACGUCUGGGUCGUCACCGGGAAGGUGCCUAUGCAGUACUAA